CGUGUAGGCGGCUUGGCAAGUCGGGUAUGAAAGCCCGGGGCUCAACCCCGGAACUGCAUUCGAAACUGCCUGGCUAGAGUUCCGGAGAGGAAGGCAGAAUUCCCGGUGUAGAGGUGAAAUCCGUAGAUAUCGGGAGGAAUACCAGUGGCGAAGGCGGCCUUCUGGACGGCAACUGACGCUGAGACGCGAAAGCGUGGGGAGCAAACAGGAUUAGAUACCCUGGUAGUCC
rnacentral:rRNA from 1 species